rnacentral:rRNA from 1 species
AUUGAACGCUGGCGGCAUGCUUUACACAUGCAAGUCGAACGGUAACAGGGUGCUUGCACCGCUGACGAGUGGCGAACGGGAGAGUAAUGCGUCGGAACGUGCCGAGUAGUGGGGGAUAACGCAGCGAAAGUUGUGCUAAUACCGCAUACGUACUGAGGUAGAAAGUGGGGGACCUUCGGGCCUCACGCGAUUCGAGCGGCCGACGUCUGAUUAGCUAGUAGGUGAGGUAAAGGCUCACCUAGGCGACGAUCAGUAGCGGGUCUGAGAGGAUGAUCCGCCACACUGGGACUGAGACACGGCCCAGACUCCUACGGGAGGCAGGAGUUGGGAAUUUUGGACAAUGGGCGAAAGCCUGAUCCAGCCAUGCCGCGUGUCUGAAGAAGGCCUUCGGGUUGUAAAGGACUUUUGUCAGGGAGGAACUCCCUAGUGCUAAUAACACUGGGGGAUGACAGUACCUGAAGAAUAAGCACCGGCUAACUACGUGCCAGCCGCCGCAGUAAAAC